UUCAUUCCGUUUCAUCCCUGCU
rnacentral:piRNA from 1 species